UACGUAGGGGGCAAGCGUUGUCCGGAUUUAUUGGGCGUAAAGAGCGUGUAGGCGGCCAUACAGGUCCGUUGUGAAAACUGGAGGCUUAACCUCCAGACGUCGAUGGAAACCGUAUGGCUAGAGUCCGGAAGAGGAGAGUGGAAUUCCUGGUGUAGCGGUGAAAUGCGCAGAUAUCAGGAAGAACACCCGUGGCGGAAGGCGGCUCUCUGGGACGGUACUGACGCUGAGACGCGAAAGCGUGGGGAGCGAACAGG
rnacentral:rRNA from 1 species